UAGUGCCACAUCAAGCCCGGCGGCGACAGAUAGAGGAUAGAGCAGAGUGGGGGCGAGUUCGAGCAUGUUUUACCUAAGGAAUUAUUCAGGUCGCUCCCGUGCAAAUCGAGCAGCGUUCGUGUCGUUUUUUGUAGCUCCUAGGUCGAAUCCAUGCGUAGCCAUUUUGUCCGCGGUUUUUUAUGACGGUGGGUUGCAAUCCAUCGGAGCAGUUUACUUGCUUUUGCUGCUGGAUUUUUGGGGAGGCAAAUCAUGCGAGCUAUUCUACUGUAAAGAGCACACGGGGGGAUCUCUGUGUUUGUCAGGGGGGUGUGCUUCAUCUGUUCCCUAGCCUAGAUGUGCUGCUGGCCCAAUCACCGCCAGCGGCAUGAGGUGCUGCUGCAGCGGCCACAGGCACAAGCUACUACUUCCCUCGCAGCAGCCUACGAACGCCCCAAAUGUCUGGGUGGUCUGACGAUGAUGGCGUGGACUGCGAACUGUCUUCUGCCGCUGCUCCCUUGGCGUCCUCCUCUUCCAACGUCUCCGCGGGAGGGGUGUCAUCCAUGAAUGCCGGCGCAGGCUUGGUGCACCAGGGGACUACGGCUAGUGCAGGAGUGGAGUCAUCUACCUCGACACAGCAAGACAGUGCCACCCGCACUGUCCGGCCGUCCGCCUCGCACAGCAUGUGGCUGACUUGAUCCUGUACCGGCAGACUUGCAAAGGAAUUGUCCAAAAUCUCACUAAUUUUGAUAAGGCUUUUUUAGGAGCGAGGGGCAAUUUUGUGUAUAUGUUGUGGAUAACAAGUGAAGCAGUAAGUAGCGGACUGCAGGGAGACACAAGCUUUUCCCCUACAUGAACACGAGCUUGGCAAGUUUCAGGAUGCGACAGUGCAGUGUUCGCAAGAAUCUACUGUGAUAUUUGCUUUUCAAGUUGCUGAAUCAUGUUUGCGUUUACCUUGGGAAAAGAACCAGGAGGAGUACUCAGUGGGAGCAUGCAAGCAGGGGUUGCAAUGCUACUGUGCAUGAUCUAAACAAUCGGGUGGACUAUAUACUCUGCUCGAAGCAAUUAAACCAUGCUGAUGAUACAAGAAUAUGUGAAACUGUUUGAAACAAGUUUUGUGUAGAUAUUUUUCUGCUUCUGUUUCAUGCCUAUGCUUCUACCAUGUACGGGUUUUGAAAACAAUGCUGCAUCUCUAGGAUCUGAAUCUAAACCUUAUCUGUCUCGUUUUU